GUUCUCUAGUUUAAUUUAUUGUUUUCAUUAAAUACAGUGCACUAAGUAGUAGAUGAUGUCUGUGCUAUCUAGAUGGCUAGAAUAACGCCUAAAAUUUGUCAGCAGUACCACUUCUUUCUCUACCUAUCCCAAAUUCAAUUAAAAUUCUAUUUUUGUGAUAUGUGACAAUCUAGGAUACUUGUGUUACGGUAAUUCAAGCUAUAAUUGCCUUAAUCUCACAUAAUCCAGAUACAUCUAAGAAACAUAUUUUGAGUUACAAAUUUUGUUUUCUAAUAUUGGAAGUAACAUAGGUAGAUGGAAACUAAAUUAGAAAAGUUUGUUUCAUAUUACUUUUAUGUUAUGUAAUGCUCUCUGUUAGGUUGGUAUUACUUAAACUGUGCUUAGAAUUUUAAAAAUUGCCACUUAAUGUAUAAUUAACAGAGUUAGUUGUUGGAGUCCCUUUUAUCAUAGAAACCUGUGUUUAGGUUUUUAUUUUGUCUGACAAUGAAAAAAAUAAGAGAGCAAAUAUUAGGGUAAAGACUGCAUUUGUGGUGAGAGCUAGCUAGUGUUUUUAUCAACUUUAUUUUCUGCUCCAAAAUUUUGGCUGAAAGGUGAGUCUAGAGACUCGAGAUAACCUCACAGCUUUAUAGCCUUAGAAAUGCUCAGGAACCAAGAAGAAUUAUAUGCUUUGAUUUUGUGGACUACAGUUUCCAGACAGCUAUCUCCCUACAAACCAGGGCUAGGAGGAGAAUGUGAAAAACAAGGAACCAGGUAAAAACUGAACAUAUAAUUUUUGUGUUUAAACAAAGAAUAUUAAGAAAUUAUUAAGGGAAUUGCUACAAGAAUGGUGGGUAAUUUGACCUCUUUGCCUUCUGCUAGAUUGCAUGUCCUCUGGUAGGAUUUGAUAUAGAACAUGAAAAGAACAUGAGAGGUCUCCACAGACAGUUCAGUCUCCAACAUGUUACUCAGUACAGACACCAGCUGCCUUUUAGUGGACAUAAGUACUUUUUCAGCCAGGAAAUUCUGCAUAACAAUAAUGUCAUAAGAGGGUAAAUCUGUUGGAUUUGUGUUUCAAGGAAUGAAUAAAAGUAACUGUUUCCCUCAAUUACUUUUCCUACCCCAGAAGGGUAGGGAAAGUUGGUUGGUUUGUUUCUCAGUUUUUAACAAAGGUCAUUCUGGUCCCUUUGUGUCUCCUUAUGUUUGAGCAACUGGCACACUGAUGUAGGGAUACAGCAAGCAUAUUUUUGCUUCUCUCUGUAGCACCAAACAGCUCCUACAGUAGUUACUGGUCUUCCUUGGGGCAUUUGGAGACUGCAGCAGAGGUGUGAAGAGAGUCAGGGCUCUGGUCAGGAGCCGUCUGCUGUGCUCAGGGAGGAACAAAGAUGUUGCUACCACAUAUUCCAUUGGUGUUAAGAUGAAGCAAGCAGGCAGCUUGGCUUUAAAUACAAGGUAUUCUCUCCUGCCUCCCCUGGCUGCCUCUCUGAAUUGUCCCUGAUGUUUGACCAUCUUAUUUAGUUCCAUUCACCCUCCUACACUGAUUUUUUUUUUUCUCCCAAAGAUUUCUACUGUGUUGUGGAGCAUGUAACUGGGAAAAUUGAAGUUCAGAGCACUAAUACCUUGAGCUUCUGGGUCUAAGUCACCUUUUUUUAAUGCCUAAGAGGAAAAUAAUGAACUGAUUUCUGUACAUAAAGGAAACAUUUCUGUCUAGAAGUAUAUCCUGCAUGAAGUACAUAACUAGAUAUAUGGCCAAUGGGCCAUUUAUUUUAGAUAAGUAAUGUAUAUAUUUUAUGCUAAUUAUUUGCACAGAUGUUAAUUCUAUGGGAGACAAAUUAACCAAUAUCCUCAAGUAAGUUAAGCUCAGCAUUCUUUGUAUCAUUAGGUUAGAUUUCAUGUCAAAAGAUUGAUUGUUAUGCUUUUUUAUGAAGGAAAAAGUACCAUAAAAAAUUACACAUAAUGUAAUCACAGGUAUUGAAGAUGUUGAAGUAAAAAUAUCUCUGUGCAGUGACAGACAAAGGAAGACCUUUUCUAAUAGACAUAACUGUCUUUUUUCCUUUAAAGUUGGUUCGUUUUUUCAUGACAUGAAAUUCGGGGAGUCCAGUAGUGACUUGUUUCUUUUCUUAGUCUAUCAACUACAAAUUCAGUUGAUUUAACUACAUUAUUUUUUAUGCAAAAUGGCAAUAGAUAUUGUAACAAAUAUUCCAGCAUCACACAGUUCUCUACCAAAGCCCAACCAUUUUGAUUUUUGAGAUUAGUUUGUAGUAUGUUCUUUCUUCCACUGGAGGAGUCAGAGGGUUUAAGGUGACAAAGGGGUCAUCUGGGAGAGCUCAUGGAAAAGCGAGUGAAAAGGAUGAUGUUUUAACUUAAUAUUCUAACAACAUUGUGAGGCACACUACAGGAAAUCAGAAGUUCCCAUCUUCUGAUUCCCUUGAAUAAAGAACUGUACUUGAGAAGGCUCAUAAUAUAUCACAGCUCCCCUACUGGGGAUGAUAAGUACAACUCAUACAUAGCAUGCAGUUUCAGGAAAGAGCUGAUUAUAAAACAUUAGACUAACCUUGUAUAGACACAGUAUGUUUUGCAGGUGUAAAAGGACAAAAGAAUCAAGGUUCCUUCAUUUCAUAUGCCUUGUCAUCUUGGUGUAUAACUAUAGCUUUAGCACAUGUGCAUCUUUUCGUUGUCACCACUCACUUAUACCGCUGGUACCUAUUAUGCUCUGUAUGGUUUUUAUCCUCUAUAAUCCUUUUAUUCUCUCUGUGACUUUGCAAAUGUACUCCACAAUGGUUUGAAGAUUAAUCCCAUAAUUAAAGGACAUAGUUAAACAAUGUAAUUCUGGCUUGCUUAUACUAAAGAGGCAUGUACAAUCUUCAACUAUUAAGUUACAUCUAAAAGUAUAAUUCACUUGAAGAAACAAAGACCAGCAAAUAUUUUCAAAAGAAGGAUUUGCAGCUUUCAUGACGUAUCAGUAGAAACACCUGUCCUGAUUAUUAAACAGAAAAGGCUUCAUUUUCCCAGUACAUCAAGGUAAGAAACCACAAUUGAUUGAAGAGGCAGUGAUGUGCUGAAUCAUAAUCUGAAUAUCCAACAGCACAAAUUACUCCAAUUCCUAUUUGAUGCCUUGUCUGCCUAUGGAUAAGCAGGUCAUAAGCUCAUUCAAGUCCUGUUUCUUCAGUUACCAAUGUGCUCUGAUAGAUGCCUUUAUUUCAGAAAGCUGUCCCACAUCUCCUGCUAUAACAAAGUCAUCCUGCUGUCUGAACAAUAAUAGACUAAGCAAUCCAGCCUGCUGCCAGAAUUCAGCAAGGCACAGAUGGAAGUUACAGUCAUCAGAUGUUUGAGCAGCAGAAUACCCUGCUUCUAGUCAUUUGUACUGAAGUGUUUCACCUAGAGGAUUACUUUAUCCACUUGAUCUCUUCAGUUUUGGCUUAAAAUGGAACCCUGGUGAUGAGUUUUAUAGUUAAUGGUCCAUCUAGAUCCGUAUAUAAUGGCCCACUAGGACUUUCCUUAACUUGCAACCAUGGGAAAAAAAAUUAUGUGUUAACCUCAAAAUAUGAAUUCUGUCCUUUUUUUUUUUGGAUAAAAGAAUGCAUCUGAUAGAGUGUUAUAGAAAUACUGAGAGAAAUCCUGUCUGUCCUGUGAGUAAAACCCUGAGGGUAGAAGGGACUGAAUCAUAACAAAUGUUUCACAGAUUGCCAAAAUACCUGUAGGAAGCAUGACGUUGUUGAGUAACUGAGCAGCACAUGUAUUUUUUAAUAAAGUCAUCAAUAUCAUAUGCAUUACUUUAAAAACGUUGAACAAAAUACUGUAAUGUAUCGACUCUGUGCAGGCUGUGUAGGGUAAGGGGGAAUUUCAGGCAAAUGCAAGGAGGGCAAAAGAAACAGUGGGAAGGGUUUGAUGGAAAGAGUUUUACUGAGUCUGAGGCCUUGACUGGAGUGGAGGGGAUCAAGAGAGAGUUUAUAAACUGUGACAGGUAAAGCUGGUCAACGACCCAAGGAGUAUGGGCCCUGCCCAAAAGUUCUUGGCCUCAAUAUGACUCAGAGAUCCAAUGUCACUGAGCUAUUUCGGUUGAAUAAACUCUCCUACACAGAUAUCUCUCCCUUGCUUUCUUUCCCAUUCUCUGCCUGGAAGAAAAACCACUAUUUUAGUUACCAUGUGUGAUCUUUCUGCUUUUGUCAAUCUCUACUGUAAGGGAAAAUAAAGAAUUGAAAAGUAGUGUCCUUUCUAUGGAACAGGUAGCAACAAUCCUGUAAUCUCUAUUUGAAAUCUAUUGGUAGCUGGAAAUAGGAAUUUGAUGUUCUUUCUCUUAGAGUUUCAGAAAUGGUGCUGGACUACCAAGAUUAACUCUUUAUACUAGUGUUUGUCCUUCUGUGUUCCUUCUGAAAUGUAUUUUCUGAAAGAAUUCCUGUUACCCUAAACUCAACUUUCUCACUUCCUAAUUACUACUCUUAGUAAGGUCAGGUUGUAGGCUGGUUUGUUUUCUGAAAAACUCUAGAAUUAGGAUCUCUUAAAGGCUGUCAGAGGCUGAAAAGUAUAGAAACAGUUCCAGUGGGAUACAUUUGACCAGAACAGUGUUAAAGUCUGUUCAUAAAGGUCAGUCUUUUUCAUAUCCCAGAGUAAUGAGAUUCUGUCAAAGCAUAAGCCUCCUACCAACUUACUUUAAUAUCUAUAUACAUUUUUAUAUAUACGCAUAAUUUUUCUUUUUUUAAAUCUUUGUGCUUCUUUAGAACAGAGUGUGAAGGGAAGGUGGGGGAGACAGGCAGGAGCACACUCUAUUCAAUCCCAGAGUAGUCCAUGUUUUAUGCAGAAAGAGAACUAGUUUAAACGGAGAGUAGCAAAACCACAUAGAUGGAAAUACAUUGUACUGAGGACACUUUUUAGAAGAUUCUGUGAUCUUUGUAAAUAAUUACUCUUCACUGCUGAAAAGCCAGGUGUGUGUACAGGUAAAUAAAGUGAAUCAUCAGAAUAACCUGCAGCAGAUGAUGCAGUGGUCAAUUCACCGUGCUUUUUCCUUCUUUCCUGUGUCAACAUUAAACUUUCCAUUAUUUUUGAUCUCUCUUGCGGUCAUAACAUCAAGUAUGGUAAGUGCCAUUCCUGCUUACUGUAAACUGGCACAGCUGAGACACAAAAGCUCCUGACACUUAACCCAUAAUCUACAUGUGCAUCCCUAGUGUACAUAUAUACAUACGUGUGUGUAUAAAGAGCCAGAUUCUAAAGGAAAGGUUUACUGUAAGAAUCUUGUAAAUCACAAUUUCAAAAUUACUUAUGUCUUUUAUGUUUCUCUUAGUUAUGUUCUUUCAAGAUGAGGCAGUACAUGAUUUGCCAAAGUUUUGUUUCCUUAAAACACUUGUAUUUUAGAUAGUAAAUGUGGAGCUCCUUUUAUGCAGCCAUUGUAGUAUGUGCUCAUAACUUGUUUUGAACCCUAAUGCUGGAUUUUAAUUCUUCUCCUUUCCUCUAUUUCUGCUGUUAAACAGAAAACUUGAGACAUAAAUGACUAUUAGAGCUGAUGCAAAAUUAUUUGUGUGACAAGUAUGCAGUUGUGACUGCCAAGCAUAAAUAUUGCAAAAAUCAUACAUUUAAAGCAUGUACAUGAGGCUACAAAUACAGAAUUUGAUUUUCUUAAAAAUAACUGCCUACCUAAAGAUUGUGGUUACACGAAUAGCUCCUUCCCGUGGAAAUGACAGGACAGGAGUAGGAUGUUCAUGCGUUGAAACUGUGCAGCCAUUUUACUACAAAUCAUAAAUGAUUUAGAGGGCAAGUUCAACAAAGUGACUCUUUGUACAGACAUGAAGAGAGGAAUGUUCAAACAUGAGGAAGUGUUCAAACAUUUAGAAUUUAACUGGACCUGUCUGAAAGACCGAAGAAUAAAAGCCAUCUGUUUGAGUACUGAAACUUCUGUUUCUAUGUAUGUAUGCAAAUAAUUGCUAGUGUAGUUGUUUAGCUUGCCCUUAGGUGUUUUGAAUCAUGUAUGUACCUUAUGUUGCAUCAAGAUACUCUGAUUGCAAAUAGCAGUUGAAUGGUGCUGCUACCAACAGUUUCACAUCCUCCUGCCCUGGUGAAAUCCCUACAUGAUAACUGCCAGCUCUAAUCCAGCUCAGACUUUCAAAAUAGGAGCCCAGUGCUUGUGUACUAAUUAAAAACAAUGAAGAAAUGGGAUGGAUGGCUUUAAAGGAAAAAAGUUAAAUUGGGAUGUGCAGUUAUUUAUUUUAUGUUUAUUCAUGGCUCUAACUUCUAUUUGAGUUGAUCCAAAGGAUUGUUAUUUUAUAUUAUGUAGUGCUAUAAACCUGUUUUAAAUUUUUGCUCAAGAAUACAUAAAUAGUAAAUAACAUAGCUAGGAUAUUUCUUAGUCUCAAAAACAUUCCUUUUUGCAUCUGGAAAUUUUUUACAGACUUCUCUUUGAGAACCAUUUCUGACUAAUGAUGUAAAGCUGGCUACGCAAGACUUGGUACUUACAAACCUGCUACAACACUCAGGUAAGCACUAGAAUUCAGCCUUGUCAUCUUGAUGGUGUUAUAGCUGCUUAGAUGCUAAAGUACAUUUCUUUAGACUAGAGUCUCCUCAGUGUUUCUUUAAUGUCAGAGAAUUCACAAGUGGCAUAACAUAGGUGAUAAAUUCAGAGCCAUUUUUAUUAGAAUGCUAACCUAGGUGUCUUUGAACAUGUUAAAGCAGAAUUAGAAAUUCUCCAGGUUUCAUUGAAAAUACUGUCUCUGUUGAGAAAAGAAUUUUAAAUCUAAAUUAGAUAUGAGAGUAAUAUAAUUAAGAAAUAGAAGGAGUUUAAUAUCUUACACCUAAUUCUGACCAAUAUGUUAAAAAUAAAUUCAGGCUUGUCAUUUCAGCCAGAUUUUAGAAGGUGGAAGCUGUUGUAUUUAGAUUCUUUGUAACCAGAUAUAUGAGGGCAACCUGUAAAACACUAUCUCCUCUGAGGUCAAGGAAUGACCUGGGGUCAAUAUUCUCCUCUGAUAAACAACAUGAGAAGACCUGACUUUUGGGUACUCGAGUAGCAUCAUAUAGUGCCAAGAUUUUUAUUCCUUUUAAACUGGUUUAAGGAAAAUCAGCUUCUCUGUCACUUUUCAAAACCUUUAUCUUAGGCUAUAUAGUUACUGAGUUAGUAACUUGGCACACCCUGCUUUUGCUAAUCAGAGCUCAAGGAAUAAAUCCUUGCAGUUUAAAUAUAUGUGGAAAUAGCUAGAAGAUGAUAGGGAAGUCCUCUAAUGACUAGCUGUGCUAGACAGUGUUAUAAAGCUCUAAUAAUAUUUUGAUUAUUCAGCUCUGAUAGUUUUUGAGCACUGGGCUGUAAAUUAGUGAAAUCAUAAAAUCUGACAUUUUGAUCACAGGGGAAAAAUCAUGUGAAUGAAACUGAAGAGAAACAUCAUCAGUUCUUUCACUUCUCUGCAGUAGGACAGACUGAGCAGUGCUGCUGCAGCCAGUGCUGAGCACUUCAGUGCCAGUAAGGAGUGACAGCUCCACCACUGCAAACCCAUGACAGGCUGUGGCUCUGCUCAGAAAGGAAAGCCAGGCAAAGACAGAAAGGAAAGGAAAUGGGGAUAAAAGGGGAUCCAGGUGGCAGGAUUUCCAGGCAGCACGGGCCUGCAGGAUGGGUGGGCACCAGCAGCUCUGUGUCCAAGGGGCUUCUCAUCCUCCCUGGGAAGGGAAUUGCUGUCCCUGCAGCCUCGUCCCAGCAUGAGAGCCCUGUGGCUGUGACCAAGCAAGGCUCACCCUGUGGAAGACUUCAGACGUUUCCAGAAGGUGUUGAAGCAAACUGUG